rfam:Tilletia controversa strain DAOM 236426 scaffold_1, whole genome shotgun sequence.
UAUUAUUAUUUAAAGGGGGCAUCGUCCCCUCUUUGCUUUUUUAUUUAUAAAAAAGUUUAAAAAAAGAAAUAUUUAGUAUUCCAUAGAAGGUUAUAGCCCAGUAUUAUUAUAAUAUUAGUUAAUUUAGAUGGGCUUUGUUCAUACCUUUUUUUUCUUAUAUAAUGAAAAAAAAAAAAUAAAAAAAGUAUGCCGAGCCUAUAUAAUUUAAACUUAACUCCUUUUUAAACUUUUUUUUAUACUAAAAAAAUAAAAGGAGUUAAGAUUAAGAUAAAUAAUAAGUACUAAGAGGACGUCAGCCUUUUAGGAAAAUAGGGGUACCAUCCUCUAAAGCUAAGUAUAACAUAUAUAACAAUAAAGAAGAGUAACGUGAGUGAAAGGUGAAAAGUAAGUAGAUGACUAGUUAAAUAGAUUCUGAACUAGUAGUUUUAUAAGCAGUUAAAGUUCUAUAAGUUAGAAUAAUAACGUACCUUUUGCAUAAUGGGUCAGCGAGUUAAUUUUUAUAGCAUGACAAAUAGUCUAAGUGAAAGCAAUUGCAUAAAUAUACUUAACGUAUGAAAGUGGUAGAGUCUAAUCUUUAUCAGGGGUUCCUCUUUGCUUUUUUAUUCUUUGUUUUUUAUUAUAAUAAAAAAAAUAAAUAUAAUGAAGAAAAAAAAAGGAUAAAAAAGCAAAGACGCAUAAAAAAAGUGACGGGGGGGCGAAGCCUCCCCCGUCACUUUUUUUAACCGGUGAUCUCUUUUACCCUUUUUAAAUAUGCAAAUUAGUUAUAAAAAUUAGACCCGAAGCCAAGUGAUCUUACUAUGAUCAGGUAUUAAAUAUAUAAUGACCGAACAAGUGAAUGUUGCAAAAUUCUUUGAUGAAUUGUAGUAAGGGGUGAAAUGCUAAUCUAACUUGGUUGAUAGCUGGUAUUCUGCGAAACCUAUUUAGGUAGGAUGUUUAUAAUAAAAAAGUGACAUAAAAAUCAUUUUUAUAGAUUAUUUUUUGUACAGCACUGAUCAUCAUAUGUUAUCUUUAUAUGUUACUAUACAAGGAAACUUUUAUUCUAACAUGGUCGGUAAACUUUUUAAAGUAUCCGAUAAAAUUUAUAUACUAAAUUGGGGGAUUCUAAAUUCUACCAUUGAUGGUUAACCUCGGAAUAAAAAUAAUUGAUUAUAAACGUACAGUCUAUUCUUGAUAAGGUGGAUAGACAAAAGGGAAACAGCCCAGAACAAAAGUUAAGGUCCCUAAAUAUUAUUUAGUGAAAAUAAGAAUGUUUUUUUCCUAACACAACCAUUAAGUAGGCUUGGAGGUAGCCAUCUUUUUAUGAUAGUGUAAUAACUCAGUGGUCUAAACGCCUUCCGGGCGAUAUAAUUAAUUAUAUUGGAAAAAAGCGUCUACAAUUUAUUGGGUCUCAGAUAAUAUACCUACACUUUGUCUAUUUUAUUGAAAAUACUUUAAAGCCGAAGGCAAAGGCCGAAGGCCUCCUUUUUUAUUAUGUCUAAUAAAAAAGCAAACCCCCUAGGGAGGGCGAAGCCCCCCCAUCACUUUUUAAAAAGAAAUUGCCGAAGGCGUUGUGAUUCUUUGCUUUUUUAUUAUAUUUUUUUAUUAUAUUUAUAUAAUAAAAAAACAAAGAUAGAAUCGGCGAAGCCUCGGCGAAGCCGUAAAGUUAACAUUUAACACGUGGUAUAAUAAAAAAAUAUGAAAAGAUUUAAAUAAAAUAAGGGUAGCAGAACAUUUAGUAUAAUAAUGAAAAUUUGUAUUUAUUGAUAAAUUGGAAGAUACUAAAGAGAAAAUGCUGACAUGAGUAACGUAGAAAGGGAUUAAAAUAUUCCUCACCGAAAACGAGAGGGUUUCAUAGAUAAGUUUAUCUGCUAUGAGUUAAUCGGUUUCUAAGGCAUAUAUAUGAUCAUAUAUAUCUGAUGACAUUAAACUUUUUUUUUUUUAUUACCUAGGAGGACGCCUAUGUCCUUUUUUUCUAUUUCUUACCUUUUUUAUUAUAUAACGGGCAAAGGCCCCGCCCCCUUCUUUUUUAAUAUAUAAACUUUUUUAAGUAUUUAUCGAUAAUAAAAAAGCAAAGAAAAGAACGGUACGGAGGUGUUAAAAAUGGAUUACUGGAAUAGAAUGCCCUAAUCUUUACGGCUUCGCCGAGGCUUCGCCGAGGCUUCGCCGAUUAUUAUAAAAAGAAGGGAUAGGGGGGGGUCUACGACCUCCCCUUCUAGAAGGUUAUAAAAUAAUUAAAAACUACCGGGCUUUGUCCCGUAUCAAGAAAUUAAUGAUAAAAAUAAUAUGUAAAUAACAUAGUUAGGCGAGGUGUAUUCUUUUAACUUUAUUUAAAACUUUUUGAUCUUUUAGCUUUUUUAUUAUCGAUAAUAAAAAAGUUAAAAGUUCAAAAAGUUAUAAAGCAAAGAGGAUGCGCCCUUCAAAAUAAAAGAAUAAAUUAAAUUAUUAUCGACUCUAUGCUUUUUAUUUAUAUAACAUUUUAUAGACCGUACCCUAAUCCGACACAGGUUCGUAGGUAGAGAAUACUAAGGUGUAGAGAUAAUACUUGUGAAGGAACUCGGCAAAAUGUAUCCGUACGUUCGACAAUAAGGAUAACCAUUUUAUGUAUAUCUUUGUAUACAUACAAUGUGUGACACAAAAUCGAGAGCUGCGACUGUUUACCAAAAACACAGCAACUUGCUAAGACAUUUAGUAUUUGUAUAAGUUGUGAACUCUGCCCGAUGCCACAUAGUAUAAAAAAGAUGAUUUUAUGUCAUUGAUCGACACUGUGGUGAAUGGCGGUCUUAACUAUAAGGAUCUGAAAGUAGCAAAAUUCCUUGGCCAUUAAAUGUGGUCCUGCAUGAAUGAGGUAACGUGGCUCUGCUGUCUCCACAAGUAUCUCAGUGAAAUUGAAUUAGCCGUGCAGAUGCGGUUUGUCUUCAGGUAGACGGGAAGACCCUAUGCAACUUUACUGUAGUUUGAUAUUGUGUUUUUGUUCUUUAAGUGUAGAAUACAAGGGAGUAAAUAUUUUACGUCAGUGAAAUACCUUGAUUAAUAGAAUAAGAAAACUUACCAAAAUAAAUUACGAGGGCUACGCUCUUGAAAAACCACAUUUUGGGAAAAUGUCAAAUUGUCAGUUUGACUGGGACGGUAGCCUCUAAUAAAGUAUCAGAGGCCUUCAAAGGUAUGUAUAUAUUGGUCAGAAACCAAUAAAUUAUGAAUAAUUUAAUAAAAUAUAAUGAUAAAACAUACUUAACUGAAAGAUUGAUAAAUCGAUCAGAUAUGCAAAUAGGACAUAGUGAUCCGGUAAUCCUUAAUGGAAUGAUUAUCGCUCAAGAAAUAAAAGUUACGCUAGGGAUGGACUAAACCUAGUCCCUAGCUAUCUUUGCUUUUUUAUUAUAUA